AUGGGAUGGGAUGAGCAUAUUAGGCUUGCCAAUCGACAGUCGGCGACUGUCUUCCUUAACGGCCAUCUGAAUUUUCACACCUAUGACGGCGAGUCACGCCAGUGUCUAGCCGCGGUGGACACGGAGGGGGAAACAUGGACGGACUUCCGCGCCCCUGGUGAUCUAGAUGGCGGUCAUAUUCAGCGGUCGCAGGGCCGCCUCCAUUAUGCCAAUUUUCAUCAAGAUGAAGAUGGCCGUGUGGUUCGACUAGUAGUUCAUGUUCUCGAGGACUAUGACAGCAAAGAAUGGAUAUUGAAGCAUAGUGUUGAAACUUCAUAUUUAUCUGGAGGAACGCAUGUUCUUGGCCUUAAUGUGGACUUCCAUUUGAUUGCGGUUCAUCCGGAAUGUAACUUGAUCUUUUUCAGUGUGGGGUGGGAUACCACCUUCAUGUGCUAUAAUAUGGAUAGUCGGCGGGUCAAAGUGAUCUGCCAUCUUGAAGAUGGCAAGCCGCCAUAUCUGCCGUAUGUGCCGUUGUACACAGAGUUACAAUCACUGCACACAUGA
rnacentral:rRNA from 1 species